CGUGCAGCAGCUGGUGUUGUGAAUCAGGCCGGCACCAGUCAGAGAACGGCUACUUCACAACACCAGGGUCGCACCG
rnacentral:pre_miRNA from 10 species